UGUGCGGCGAUGCCUCCAGUAAGAGGCUCUAUUCCCUUCAGAAGGGACGUAAAGGAUUUGUGGCCCAAUCCCAAUUUGAAACGGCCGGUCAAUCAGGUAGUUCAAUGCAGAAUUGGACUUGCUUAGAAGUUUUACUAUGUUAUCUCUUUUGCUACUUGGGUAAAGUUGGUAUUAUUUUAUUUUUUUCCUUACAGCAAUGUCAUCAUCUUUUGGGUCCUUUCUUUGUGUACUCGAUUGAGCAUGUGUGUUAUAGGCCAAUUAUCACUUCCACCAUAUGAAGUUUCAGAUUGCUCUCUCAUGGAAAUCACCUAGAAAGUUAGCUACAUUUGAUGUGACUUCUGGAAUAUUUUCCUUUUAUAGGUUUUGUUGUUUUGAUGUUGGCUGAAGAUUUAGCUAUCCAUGUUGUGGAUGUAACUCCUCUGAUCCAUUGGUGGAUUCAGAGAUUAUUCUCUUUUUUCGUUUUGUCAAAUGAAAAAUAAGGUUGCGAAUGGCGAAGCAUCUCUAAUCUUAUUGUCUACAAGAAAUGCUAGCAGGAGAGUUGCUUGCUUGAACAAGUGUUAUGAUGUAGUUUACAUUUUUUGUCAUUGUCUUUGUGUAUGUUUGUCUCUCUCCAUCUCACUUUAUGUGUGUGUGUGUAGAUGUAAUUGGUGACAUCUCUCCAAAGCCCUGUUAUAGUUACAGAUCUAAUUGGUCAUGUCUUUGAUUGUCUUAACUGAUUAGUUGCUCAGAAAUUGGGGACGGAAGAUGAGGAUAAAGAAUCAGUCUCAGUUUUUUUGGGUUUUGAGGGUAUUAACACUAUAGAUCAUGCCGCUUGAUGAAGAGAGUUCUUGAUGUAAAGGCUCCACAGCCUGGGGCUUGAUAGAGUUGCUUCACUGAGUUUCACUCAGUUUUGGUUGCAUCACUUGGCUUUUCGAGUUUUGAACCUCUGUAUUUUUUUUUGGUUAUGCUCAAUGCCUACCUAGCUACCAAAUUUCUUCAUUUGUAUCGUGUUUGUUGUGGGAAUGUCUCAUUGGAUUUCCUUCUUCUCUAUGGGUCAAGUUUUGUGCGUGGUGGUGUUUAUGGGGUUGUAUUCUUGGUGAAUUUUAUUUUGAUUUUCAAAUUUUCUUUUCAGGAACUAAUUAGCGAAUUGUGUGACUCGAAUCACUCAAGAUUUCAGGAACUAAUUUGCGAAUGGUGUGACCAGAAAUCACUCUAGGUAAGUUCUAUCAUAUUAGUUUCUCAAGUUUUGUGUGUUAAAUUUUUAUUGUUACUCUGGCUUUGUUUGUGUUAACUAUCAUCAUUCACAAUGUGCACUUUUCCGCUAAGUCAUGCGCAAGUCUGUUUCUAUGAUUGGUUGAUGAUAAUUGAUAUCAACAAAGGUAAAAAAAAAAUUGAGAAAAUGUUUAAUGUUAAACAUAAUCUUUAGUUUUUGAAAUUGACAGUCCCCGCUUAGUAUAGUUUUGUCAAACUCCUCUUUGUUUGCUUGAAUUUUUAUACAAUUUGAUAACCUACUGUAGACAGGGAUGCACACUAAUGGAUGUCGGCAAUCCUUCCCAAAUCGACGAGCCCAACGGCAUGGGUUUUGAAAGUUGGGACGAGGGUUCGAGUUGGGGUUUGUGUUGAAGUCCAAUUGAAGAGUUUUGUAUCUGAAGGUAUAUGGGUGAUGAAGUUCUGAAGGUGUGGCUGUGUACUUUAAAAUUUUAUAUUGCAUUCAAGGUGUUUGUAAGAUUGCCCAUACGAGAAGUUUGAUUUCCAGUGAGAGUUUAUCACAAUCCUUCUUGGUUUUGAUGCCUAUAGCUAGCCUUACCCCAAUUAGUUGAGGCACAUAGCCAUUAGUUAGAAACCAAUUUCUUACAUAAUAUUUAGUUUUGUACUACUUUUAGCUACAACCAUGAUAUGGAAGGUUAUAAGAUCUUUGAUGGAUGUCUAAGACCAAAUAUAAUUUGUUUUUAGUUCACAGUUACUUCGCCCAUAUGUUUUGAUCAUAACUCCUCCGAGAUAUGUGUUCAAGACUUUUUUUCGUUCCCAGUUACUUCGCCCAUAUGUUCAGAUCAUAACUCCUUCGAGAUUAAUCUGGUUGUGGGUGUGUUGUUAAUUAUGGCUUGUAGGCUUCUUCAGAGGUAACAACCGUGGAGAAAAGAAGGUGGACUCUCAAUGACUGACAUCGAAAAGUCUCUCGGAAGGUGGACUCUCAAGGACUUUGGCAAGGGAAAAGAGGGUCCGUGAUCUUGACUUCUUCUAUUUUAUGUGUUAGAUAUGCAAAGUUUCAAGGUUGGGCCUUUUUCUCAUUUGAAUAUGUGUUGCUUUGUCAUGUAUCGGUUGGUACAUGUUGCUUAUCUCUUGAAAUUAAUUUUCCCAAAAAAAAUUGUUUGCUUGCUCCUUAGAAAUCCUAACGAAAAUUGUGAUAUUUGAACUCUCUUACUAUUUAAGGUGUUCAACGUGACCGUGCAAUUGUAUUUGUGUUAAUUUUCAACUGAUGGGCAAAUUAAUCUAUUUCAUUCUGGACAGAGCAAUCACUAAGGUGCUUUCUAAGAGCCAAGGGGUUUCUAGGGAGUCAUAUUGGAUGAAUGUAGGAAAGCCACAACAAUAUCAUAUUGUCGGUUCUAAAGUAUCUAUUUCGAUCAUCUCUGGCGAUGGGACCGGUUUUUUUCUUGAUGUUCA